rnacentral:rRNA from 1 species
AGAGUUUGAUCAUGGCUCAGAAUCAACGCUGGCGGCGUGCCUCAGACAUGCAAGUCGAACGAUUAAACUUUCCUUCGGGAAAGAUAUAAAGUGGCGCACGGGUGAGUAACACGUAGGUAAUCUACCUUUGAGUGGGGAAUAACGUUCGGAAACGAACGCUAAUACCGCAUAAUGCAGCGGCACCGCAAGGUGACAGUUGUUAAAGGAGCAAUCCGCUUAAAGAGGAGCCUGCGGCAGAUUAGCUAGUUGGUAAGGUAAUGGCUUACCAAGGCGACGAUCUGUAACCGACCUGAGAGGGUGGUCGGUCACACUGACACUGAAUAACGGGUCAGACUCCUAUGGGAGGCAGCAGUCGGGAAUUUUGGGCAAUGGGCGAAAGCCUGACCCAGCAACGCCGCGUGAAGGAUGAAGUAUUUCGGUAUGUAAACUUCGAAAGAAUGGGAAGAAUCAAUGACGGUACCAUUUAUAAGGUCCGGCUAACUACGUGCCAGCAGCCGCGGUAAUACGUAGGGACCAAGCGUUGUUCGGAUUUACUGGGCGUAAAGGGCGCGUAGGCGGCGUGUUAAGUCAGCUGUGAAAUCUCCGAGCUUAACUCGGAACGGUCAGCUGAUACUGAUGUGCUAGAGUGCAGAAGGGGCAAUCGGAAUUCUUGGUGUAGCGGUGAAAUGCGUAGAUAUCAAGAGGAACACCUGAGGUGAAGACGGGUUGCUGGGCUGACACUGACGCUGAGGCGCGAAAGCUAGGGUAGCAAACGGGAUUAGAUACCCCUGUAGUCC